UCCGGAUGCCCUAGUACGGCGAGUGAAGCGGCAACAGCUCAAAUUUGAAAGCUGGCUCUCGGGCCCGCAUUGUAAUUUGCAGAGGAUGCUUCUGGCGACGCGCCUUCCGAGUUCCCUGGAACGGGACGCCAUAGAGGGUGAGAGCCCCGUCCGGUCGUGCGCCUAGCCUCUGUGAAGCUCCUUCGACGAGUCGAGUAGUUUGGGAAUGCUGCUCAAAAUGGGAGGUAUACGUCUUCUAAAGCUAAAUACCGGCCAGAGACCGAUAGCGCACAAGUAGAGUGAUCGAAAGAUGAAAAGCACUUUGAAAAGAGAGUUAAAAAGUACGUGAAAUUGUUGAAAGGGAAGCGCUCAUGACCAGACUUGGGCUGGCCCGAUCAUCCGGCGUUCUCGCCGGUGCACUCGGGCCGCCCAGGCCAGCAUCAGCUUUCGCCGGGGGAUAAAGGCGGCGGGAAUGUGGCUCCCUCGGGAGUGUUAUAGCCCGCCGUGCAAUACCCUGGUGGGGGCUGAGGUUCGCGCGUAUGCACGGAUGCUGGCGUAAUGGUUAUCAGCGACCCGUCUUGAACCAACGGACCA
rnacentral:rRNA from 1 species